rnacentral:lncRNA from 1 species
CUUGUAUAACUUUUACUCUUUUUCAGUUUUCUUUAAAGUAAUUGACUAUCAUAUUCUUUUUUUAAUUAAGAAGAUUUUUAUUCCAGAAAUUCAAAGGUGGCUUACAAAACCCCAAAACACCUAUUCAAGAUCUUUGUAUAGCCAGGCACAGUUUAAAGUCAGAUCUAGCCUUGGGGUUUAAAUAUGGUGCCGCGUCGUGCACAACUUUCACAUGAUGUCAAAAAAGAAAACGUGUAAGCCCGCAUUGUCCUCUUUAUUCAGCUUCUUAAUAUCCAAAUGGGAUAACUUGCAUUUAUUUCUGGUUCCUAAGGAAAACAAAGCAGAACAGAGUUCUAGAUCCCAGAUCCUUCCAGAGUAGCCCCGGCUGUCCUAACGACUUACAUUCAGAUUUUUAUGUGGCACGGUGACGCAUAUCCAUACACCACUACUUGGGAUGCUGAGGCAGAAGUGAGUUGGGGACACCUUGGACUGCAAAGACCACCUGCCUCUCUUGGGGUGGAGCCACCCAUGGUGGACAGAGUUCUCCUACAUCAACCAUUAAUCAAGAAAAUCCCCUGCCCGACGGGCUUGCCUACCGGCCAAUGUGAAAGAGGCAAUUCCUCAGUUGAGAGUCCCUCUUCCCAGAAUAUUGAUAUCAGGAGGUGAUGCCUUGGGAAUAUAGAACAUCAUAAAUGAGAUAGUUACCCCUGUGAAAUAACCCCAAGAGAAGCCUCCUACACUCCCUGCAAUAAGAGUGUACAGCAAACACAUGAACCAGGAAGCCAGCUCUGGCCAGACGCUGAAUCUGCUGGUGAAUUCCAGAGUCCAGAUAGGAACCAUCAGGUAUCGGGCUUCAGGAAAGCAGAUCUCCCAGAUAAACUGGUUGCUUCUCAUAAAUAGUGUCCAAUAACACUGCAAGGAGGAAGAGCCUAAUUACCCUAGGAUAGCCCACUUUGCCAACAAUGGAGGUAUUAUGCUGCUGUGGAGAGGACAAGUAGAAAAGUUUCUUCCAGGUAAUUGCAGAUUUAGGGUGAUGGAGGAAGGCUUGUAUCAUCAGGGAGAAUUUAACAAGCUUUAACAUGGGAAGUUUCUGCAAUUUUAGCCGAUUAUACUUAUGAUUCUAUAUUUGCCCAUUAAUUUGUUUUGAACCGAAUUAACGAAUGGUGUAUCUAGUUAAGAAAUGUG